CCGUAGGCGGUAGGAGGCGAUGAAGGACGUCGUAGCCUGCGAAAAGCCUCGGGGAGCUGGCAAACAAGCCUUGAUCCGAGGAUAUCCGAAUGGGGAAACCCACCGACCGUAAGGUCGGUAUCGUCCGCUGAAUACAUAGGCGGACGAAGCAAACCCGGGGAACUGAAACAUCUAAGUACCCCGGAGGAACAGAAAAUCAACCGAGAUUCCCUAAGUAGCGGCGAGCGAAAGGGGACUAGCCCUUAAGCCCGAUCACCCAUAGCAGAAGCUUCUGGAAAGGAGCGCCAUAGCGAGUGAUAGCCUCGUACGCGACAUGGCUGAUCAGGUGAAAACGAGUAGGGCGGGGCACGAGAAACCCUGUCUGAACAUGGGGGGACCAUCCUCCAAGGCUAAAUACUCCCUACCGACCGAUAGUGAACCAGUACCGUGAGGGAAAGGCGAAAAGAACCCCGUAGAGGGGAGUGAAAUAGAUCCUGAAACCGUAUGCGUACAAGCAGUCGGAGCCCGCCAGGGUGACGGCGUACCUUUUGUAUAAUGGGUCAGCGACUUACAUCUCAGCGGC
rnacentral:rRNA from 1 species